rnacentral:lncRNA from 1 species
CAUUCCUGAAUUUUUACACGGUGCUGAAUAGGUACUGAAAGUAAAAAUUUUAGUAACUAAAUCUGCCAGGUGCAAUCACAUGUGCUUGUAGUUCCAGGUAUUCUGGAUUCAAAGGCGGGAGGAUCACUUGGUCCCAGGAGUUUGAGCCUGCAGUGCACUGUGAUUGCAUCUGUGACCAGCCACUGCACUCCAACCUGGGCACAUAGUUGAGACCUUAUCUCUUUAAAAAAAAGCAGGGAAGGGGAUGAUUAAAUCUUCUUUGAUAAAUUGAUUUUGAGAAUAUUUCAUUGAAAAACUAGAUAAUUUGUGGAGAUACAUUGUCAGUUGUAUACAGACUAAUUAACUACAUUGGUGAUUCACUCCAUGGACCAUUUUCUUCAGAUAUGUUUGGAAUUAUUAUCUAUUCCUACACUUAUUGCACUAAUGACUCACCUUAGAAGGAAAAGAAAAAUUUUAAUUUACUUAAAAAAAAUUUUUUUUGAUUGAAUAGAUAAUUGUGUAUAUUUGUGGUUAAUUAUUAUUUUACACUCCAGACCUAUUUCUACACCUGUAGGGAAGAAACUUAAUCACUGAUAUCGUCAGCCUGUCAGAUACCACUGAUAUCUUCAGUCUAGUUUUAAGAAAAACUAGGACUAAGAAGAAGUAUAUAAUCAAGUUCAAGCUAAUCAUGGCCAUUUUUAAAUUACUUGGUCUUUUUUAAUACUUUUUCCCAGAGCAACCUUCUAAAUGGAAGGGCAAAGCCUCAACUAUCUAAAAUGCAGCUUUUAAGGACUCUUAGAUGUAUGAUAUGCCUUAUGUACAGGAGAUUCCAUCUAUACCUUGACACCCACACCACUCCCACCCCUGUUCUCUCUUCCAAGAAGGUUUUUGGCAGCAAAUAGUUCUCUUUAAUUAUUAUAUUUAAAUAUUUGUAUAUAUUUAAUUCACAUUAGGGAUAACAACUAAGAAUUAUUUAAUUGGCAGGUUUAUUAGGUAGUUGUUGAUUGAUGACAUGUAUAACAAUCCAAAUGGUAUGAUAGGUGAAGCCAAUGCAGUGGCACAUGCCUGUAAUCCCAGCACUUUGGGAUUGCUUGAGCCCAAGAGUUCGAGGUUGCAGUGAGCCAUGAUUGCAGUUAAAUGUUCCAAAAAUGAUUUUCAGAGCAUUACUGGACAUUUUAAUUAAAAAGAAUUAGUAUGAGGAGGUAGAGACAAUGGCAACUAUCUACUGCUACUCCCUGCCCCCAGCAAAAAAAGUGCCAUUCAGGGAGUAAGAAACAGCAAAAGUAGAAUUUAAGUUUUCCUGAAUGGAUUUAACCUGUUAGCAUUUAAAAAUAGUAUUUUGUGGUCAGUCAUCUUAAGCUUGUCUCUAUUUUAUCUAUAUUUACAUAGUUUUUAUUAGAAAUAACACCCAUUAAAAUUUAACAGAAACUUUGUAUGCUGCCUAGAACGCUAACUAGUUUAUUGGAAGUCAAAUAAAAAUAUAAUUUUUUUAAGGUUUCAAUAAGAUUCUUAAAUGUAUAAUGUAAUGUAUUACUGCUCAUUCUUAAACAGAAUUGCCUACUGCUAACAGUUUUGAAAAGAUUGUCCAUCUUUUUCAUCUCUUCCCUUUGAUAGUUGAAGAUCAGAAGACCAAACAUAAAAUUCACUGCCAGAACUUGUCCAGAGGCAAACAGUAAAAGCAUAGGAAAAAUAUUAAAGUGAGCCAAUAGGAUUUCAGAGGCCUAGAUAACAAACUUAAGGGCGGCUAACAGGUUUAUACUUGCACCUACAUUUUUAUAUCUGGCUUAAUUGCAUAAGUAAAUGAGCAUCAACAUUGAAAUAUAUUUUUCUUUUUCAAAAUGGGAGCUUAUAUAGUGACUUAUUAACAUCUAAAAGUGUAAAACCAAAUUUCAAAGAGGUAAAUUGAGAGAUAUGUUUGAUUAAUUCCUCUGGUGAAACAAAAUAGCUUUUCAUAGAUCUUUACUAAACUUUUUAAACAGCUUUAAGGUAUAUUUGACACAAUAAACUAUACAUAUUCAAAGUGUACAAUUUGGUGUUUGACAAAUAUAUUUAUUGUGAAAUCGUAACAAGAUAUAAUCUACAUAUUCAUCCCUCCCAAAAGAUGCUCCUUUGUAAUCCUUUCCUCCCCAAACACCAACCACCCACCAACUCCAGACAAGCACUGGUCACCAUAGAUUAGUUUAUAGUUUUUUAAUGAUUUUAUAUAAAUGGAAUCAUAUAAUAUGUACUUUUCAUUUUACUUCUACUCAGCAUAAUUAUUUGGAGAUGUAUCUAUGUUAUUGCAGAUAUCAGUACAUUCCUGUAAAUUGCUUAGUAGUAGUAUUUUGUAUGGAUCUGACACUGUCCAUUCACUUGUUGAUGGACUUGUGCAAGAUUUUAGCUAGAGUCAACUAUCAACUCUCCACAGCUUAUCACUGAAAUAACAAGCUUCGUGUGACCAUAUUAAAAAUUAUCAGUUUUACAUUUGAAAGGCCCAGUGCCAACCUGGAAAAAAUUGCUUGCAUUGAUGAGUAAUAAAUUCUACAUUUUGCAUAUUCUCACAACUGCAUGAAUUCAUUUCACAAUGUUGGCAAAUAAUCUGAAUUCUUGGUGGCACGGGUCCUCCGUAUGCUGAGCGCCGGUCCCCUGGGCCCACUUUUCUUUCUCUAUACUUUGUGUCUCUUUCUUUUCUCAGUCUCUCGUCCCACCCGACUGGAAACACCCACAGGUGUGGAGGGGCAGGCCACCCCUUCAUCUGGUGCCCAACGUGGGUGCUUUUCUCUAGGUUGAAGGUAUGCUCGAGCAUGAUCAUUGAGGACAAGUCGACGAGAUUCCCGAGUACGUCUACAGUCAGCCUUGUGACAUUUGAAGUUCUACAAUGAACCCGUCGGAGAUGCAAAGAAAAGCACCUCCACGGAGACAGAGACACCGCAGUCGAGCACCAUCGGCUCACAAGAUGAACAGUUGAUUAUUCUCUAUCCCUUGGCAAUCUCAUUCACUUUCAUGAUUUAAAUAAUUGCUUCCAUAUGAACAACUGUAUCUUCAGCCUCACAUGUCCAGUAAGCUACUUACUGCACAGCUCAACGUGAAUAUCCUGCCAGUUCUUCACAUUCCAUACUAAAGUUGUUGUUUUCUUUCCUAAAUCUUUUCCUCCUUUUUCUUUCUUUUUUUCCCCCUGUUAUUAAGAUUUUAUUAUCCAGCCAAGUGGACUAAAAAAUAUCUAUUGGUUAUUUUGCCAAACCAAGAUUUCUCCUACAUUCAUCCUCUUUUUUAGGGUUGAGUUAAUAUGUAUAAAGUGCUUAAAACAAUGCCUGGCUGAAGUGUUUGUUUUCCGUUAGGAGAGAGGGAGAGACAGGAAGAAAGUAGCAAAGAAUCUGAGA